rnacentral:misc_RNA from 1 species
UUUCCGUAGGUGAACCUGCGGAAGGAUCAUUAAUGGGUAAUCAAAUCAAAUCAAAACAAAUGUUCUGUUGCACUGGGUGUGCUGUGUGGUGGUGGUGUGAGACAUGGAGAUUCAAUCAUUGGAGAUUCAAUCAUUGGAGAUUCAAUCAUUGGAGAUUCAAUCAUUGGAGAUUCAAUCAUUCAAUCUCAAUCAUUGGAGAUUCAAUCAUUCAAUCUCAAUCAUUCAAUCUCAAUCAUUAAAUCUCAAUCAUCGCCACACAACACAACUAUCUAUCACACUCGAUCAACAACAACACACUCACACACAACAGCAAACAACUUUUAACAAUGGAUCUCUUGGCUCUU